rnacentral:rRNA from 1 species
CACGGGGUUGCGAGCGUUGUCCGGAAUUACUAGGCGUAAAGGGCAGGCAGGCGGAUCCAUAAGUUUAUCGUUUAAGGCGUCGGCUUAACCGGCGUAGGGCGGUAGAUACUGUGGAUCUGGAAUGCGGUUGGGGAAGACAGAAUUCCUGGUGCAGCGGUGGAAUGCGCAGAGAUCAGGAGGAAUACCGAAGGCGAAGGCAGUCUUCCAAGCCGUUAUUGACGCUCAACUGCGAAGGUGUGGGUAUCAAACAGGAUUAGAUACCCUGGUAGUCCCU